GACAGAGGAUGCAAGCGUUAUCCGGAAUGAUUGGGGCGUAAAGCGUCUGUAGGUGGCUUUUUAAGUCCGCCGUCAAAUUCCCAGGGCUUCAACCCUGGACAGGCGGUGGAAACUACCAAGCUGGAGUACGGUAGGGCAGAGGGAAUUUCCGGUGGAGCGGGUGAAAUGCUGUAGAGAUCGGAAAGAACACCAACGGCGAAAGCACUCUGCUGGGCC
rnacentral:rRNA from 1 species